rnacentral:ncRNA from 2 species
UACAAACACUAGGGGUGUCAGGUAUAACCUGACUGAGAAAACAGAUAAUUAUUCUGUUUAACCCUCUGAACCUGAUCGGGUUAGGACCUGCGAAGGGAAGUGAGAAUCGCUUAUU